UGGCGGGUAAUCCUGCAAGAAAACUCUGAUUCGGUGCAAGCUGGUACCUUCGUGGCGAAGAAGAGAGUUCCUAGCAUGAAUAAUGGGACACUAUUUGUAGGAGAAAGGCCCAUCCGUUAUUAUUUAUAUAUUAUCUGAAUUUCUUGAAAAAAGGUGCGAAAUGAAAAAAUGAUUAAUUCUACCUAAAAAACAGCUCAGAGCAUGCAGGAUAUCGCCCUGGAGGGGACGGUGAAGGUGACGGAACCCAAUCUAUCACCGCUGCAUUAUCCUCACCGCUGUGAAACAUGUGUUCCAAGGAAGUCUCGAACAAGCAUUCAGUCCAAUAUGCCCGAUUGCCCUCUUGCCAACAGAGGUAGCCUACGUUGUU
rnacentral:lncRNA from 1 species